AUUCGGAACACAGUGAUGUUUACUUUUCCAAGCACAUAUCUGAAUUCUGUGUGGAGGUCAACAGUUCUGAGUGAUCCGGAU